GACGAACGCUGGCGGCGUGCUUAACACAUGCAAGUCGAACGGAAAGGCCCUGCUUUUGUGCGGUGCUCGAGUGGCGAACGGGUGAGUAACACGUGAGUAACCUGCCCUUGACUUUGGGAUAACUUCAGGAAACUGGGGCUAAUACCGGAUAGGAUCUCCUGCUGCAUGGUGGGGGUUGGAAAGUUUCGGCGGUUGGGGAUGGACUCGCGGCUUAUCCGCUUGUUGGUGGGGUAGUGGCUUACCAAGGCUGUGACGGGUAGCCGGCCUGAGAGGGUUACCGGCCACAUUGGGACUGAGAUACGGAGCAGACUCGUACGGGAGGCAGCAGUGGGGAAUAUUGCGGAAUGGGCGGAAGCGUGAUGCAGAGACGCUGCGUGCGGGAUAACGGCUUUCGGGUGGUAAACAGAUUUCGCAUGUGACGAAGCGGGAGUGACGGUAAUGGGUAAAGAAGCACCGGCUAACUACGUG
rnacentral:rRNA from 1 species